GGGAACUCCAUCGAGCAGGUGGGGAAGCUGAUCAACUCGUGCGACGCGCUGCUCGGCGUCCAUGGCGCCGGCCUGACGAACAUGAUGUUCCUGCCGCCGGGAGCGACGAUGGUGCAGGUGGUGCCAUGGGGCGGCCUCCAGUGGAUCGCGCGCAUGGACUACGGCGAGCCGGCGGCGGCGAUGGGGCUCAACUACAUCCAG
rnacentral:misc_RNA from 1 species